CCCGCCCCCCCCCGCCCCGCCGCCGCCGCCCCCCCGGGCCAUGCAGUCGCUCAUCUCGCCGGUGACCAAGGCGAUCCUGGUGGCUCUGUUCAUCUUCGCCAUCCUCCUCAUCCUGUACGUGAUCCUCUGGUACAUCUGCCGCGAUGUGGACUGCGACCACGGCAUCUGAGCGCCGCGGGCCCCGGGGACCACCGCGCUGAGGACGCCCCCCGCGCCGGGCAUGGGGGCUGGGCGGCCCGGCGGCGCUCCCCACCCCCUGCCCCGGGCCCCACCGCGCGCUCGCCGCCGCCCCCUGGCCUUGACCUUCAGGGACGCACCGGGGAGAGCGGGUAGGGUUCCCAAAGGGGCGGACAACUCUGGCCGCUGUGCAGCCCUCCGUUGACCUGUUGUCCAGGGGCAAGGCGAGACGUUGUGAGAACAUCCCGUCCGUGGACCACCGCACGGCCAGGACUCCAAUGUGGAGGGUCGGAUCCCUGGAGGUCACUGCUCGGCCCUUCUCUGGAGACCGCCGACCAGCAUGCCAUCCCAGCUGCAUUGUGGGGGUGAAGGGUGGGGUGACCACCACCGAGGAUUGAGGCCACCCCUCCGUCUCUCAUCUUGCCAAGCCAUCACCAGGCGGUCAGGACUCCUGGGCAGUGUCGCCUCCGGGGCCAUGCUGGCGUCUGUAACCUCCAUCCACCGCCGUGGUCCCAUCCAGCCAUCCCUGCCCCGCCCGCCUGGCCCGCCCGCUCUGAUCGUGACGUCUCCAUCGGCCUUUCCCUUGUGCGUAGUCGUCACUCACAGGGGUUCCAACGCCCGCGGGGGCGGCCCAGCGGGACCGUUGACUCUCCUUCCCGGCUCGAGGAGUCCAGAGGACACUCGGCUUCAGAUUAUCCCCUCGUUGAGCUGAGGAAGAUUUGCCCUGAGCUAACAUCGGCUGCCAACCUCCCUCUUUUUUGUAUGUGGGUCGCCACCCCAGCAUGGCCUAAUGGGGCGUGAUAUAAGCCCUCAACACAUAUGACUGACAGCUGAGUGGUGUAGGUCCACCCCCCGGGAACCGAACCCAGGCCACCAAAG
rnacentral:lncRNA from 1 species